UUUCUAGGAUCUGUUUAUAUUUACUAUUAGCAGAUUUUACUUUUCAACAGACUUUUUGCAAUCCCCUUAGAUAGUGUUGAUAUUAAAUAUUGCAUUGCUUGAGCAUCAUGAAGAAGUCUAUUACCAAAAGGCAUAUUGUGAGACAAACUUCCAUAUUCUUCAGUUAGGAAAUCUAGUAGAUUCAAUGAACGAAGUCCCAGUUAAAGUCUAACCCUUCAUUGGCAAGAGUUUCAUCUACUUGCUGUUUGAUUAAAGUAGCCAAAUCUGUAUUAUUCACUGCCUCUUCUUGGUGUGGAGAUGUAACCAUCCAAUCAAGGUCUUCAAUUUGAGCUUCUGUAUUGAUGGGAACGUCAUAUUCUUGGUUGUUAUCCAUUUUAUUAUAUGGGAUUUAUUUCAAUUAUUUCACAAUGAUAUCGACAAAAAUACUGUUGUCAAAAAUUAAGAGUUAUUCGCUCUGCUACCAACUUAGAUAUCUCGUAUUCAACACCAUUAACUAUACUUUCUUUUCAACCAGAUUUAUCGAAAAACACGUGAGUUACAUCCACCACUUUCAGUCAUCGAAUGAAACAUGGAAAUUUCCCGUAACGGUCAUUAACCGUUACCACCAGGUGGACUAGUUGUCCUCUAUGACUGUUUGUCUAUAGGCCGCUAGAAGGACUGAUCGUCCUUCAUACGCUAGUUCGUCUAUUCACCGCUAGAUGAACCAAUUGUCCUCUAUAAUCUAGUUCAUCUAGCUGCCGCUAGAUGGACUAAUCGAUUUGUUGUAGGCAUGUUUAAAAAAAGAGUUACACAGGGUGAACUCUAACAGAAACAAUUAAAGACUUAAUAGAGGAGGUCUGUAUAUGAUUAUAAAUAUUAUAAUACACAAUUUAUAUCAUCAUGUGAUCCAGAUUGUGGUUUAGGAUAUUGUAGUCAUUGUUAAACAUGCUAGCACAAAUAUAAAUGUGAGUGUUCCACUAAUAGCAUCAAAGUUAUAUUGUGCAAGCAUUUGCAUGCUGUUACUAUGUUCGGACAAAGAAUAAAUUCUGUUUAAGAUGACGACAACAAUUUAGAAAUCAAUGAGCCAUCAACAAGUUAACUAUAAUGAAGAUGUGGGACAUUUUAUAGAUGAAACCAUGAAAUUUCACAUCUAUAAGCAAUGACACAGAAAAUGAUUUGCUGAAAUGUGUAAAACAAUUGAAGACUCUCAAUCCAUAAGGAAUGAGGAGAUUAUUUGCAACUAUCAAUGGAAAAUUUUCCAAACAUAAGAUCAAUAAUAAGAACAUUUAAGAAGUGAAAAUUGAGAAUCAAAUCUAUUUCCCAAGAAAAAAAAUGAAUACAGAGACUAACUGAACCACCAUGUCACAUAUAUGAGAGACGUACAAUGUUCAAAUGUGAAUAGAAGAACCAGUCAAUAUCAAAAUGAAAUAUGAUAUACAUCCUUUACAUAAAUUAAUGAAUUUAAUAUAUUAUAUAUAAUAAUAUAACAUAAUUAUACAGGGUGUCCCGUAAAGACCA